rnacentral:lncRNA from 1 species
AUUAAAUAUGUUGAAUACCUGGAAUUGGAGUGCCACAAGGAAGCUGUCUAGAGGGGUAAGGGGUGCUGUCAAUUCCUUCCCAUCUUCGGAGCUGGGAAGCCCAGUCCUGUUGGAUCUAGUAUAAGCUUCUUACAGAUGUUUGGGUCUCCUUUCUCUGAGGCGCCCUGGUUCACUGGGCCAACUCAGGAGUUGGUCUGCCCUUCCUCAGAAAUCCCUUCAAGUUUUUCUGUUCCUCUUCCUAGACUGGU